rnacentral:rRNA from 1 species
GUGUCAGCAGCCGCGGUAAUACAGAGGGUGCAAACGUUGUUCGGAAUCACUGGGCAUAAAGCGCACGUAGGCGGUUCAGUAAGUGUGAAGUGAAAUCCCACGGCUCACCCGUGGAACUGCUUUGCAUACUGCUGAACUAGAGGAUGGUAGGGGAGAGCGGAACUCCUGGUGGAGCGGUGAAAUGCGUAGAUAUCAGGAGGAACACCGGUGGCGAAGGCGGCUCUCUGGUCCAUAUCUGACGCUGAGGUGCGAAAGCCAGGGUAGCGAACGGGAUUAGAUACCCCGGUAGUCCUGGCCGUAAACGAUGGGCACUAAUUAGAGGUCUCCCUGUGGGAUCUCUGGUGAAGCAAAUGUGAUAAGUGCCCCGCCUGGGGAGUAUGGUCGCAAGGCUAAAACUUAAAUGAAUUGACGGGG